AAUAGGUCUAGAGUGUGCUCUGGGGAUCUGCAUUUUAAAUCGUGUGUGAGUGAUUUUGAAGCAGAUGGCCCACAGGGCAAAUUGAAAGAAAUACUGCUUUAGCCUAAUAGCUAUCUUUUACAGUUGGGGAAAUUAAGGCUCAGGGAGAGACCCGAGUUGCAGUGACCCACAGGACCAGGAUCCAAGCUCCCCACUGCACAAGCCAGAGCUGCCCUCCGUUAGAAGAGAUGAGAUUUCCAAAGCUCCCAGCCACUUGAGCAUUUCAGGCACAUUCUCCGUUAUUGACAGGCACUAAUGGGGUAAUGAACUAAAGAGACCUGAGUUCACCCAAUAAUUGCAGGAAUACACUACCUCUCCUUAAAUAAAGUCAAAGAGAAGAGAUAGCAUCAUGCUCCUGGGAAUCCAAAAUGAAUAAAAAGACACACCAAGAGAAGGUAUAUGGUAUAUUCCUUAAAACUACACAAAUCUGUGGAAAUGAGACUGAAUCCCUCAAUCAGUAUGAAGAUAUGGACUCUGGGUGUGAUGAUUACAAAGGGGUAUGUUCCAAGACCUCUAGUGGAUGCCUGAAGCCAUGGAUGGUACCAAACCCUGUACACUAUGUUUUUUUUUUCUAUACAUACACAUCUGUGAUAAAGUUGAAUUGAUAAAUUAGGUACAAUAAAAGA
rnacentral:lncRNA from 1 species